rnacentral:ncRNA from 1 species
CACAAACGACAGGGGAGCGUCGCCCCCGCGCCGGCACUGCAGCCGGGCGGGAGCACAGGGCGCUGAGAGUGCGGGACACCGCAGACCCUCGAACCUGCUCCGGCUAGUACCGGCGAAGGGAGUCGAGUUCUCAAGGCA